rnacentral:misc_RNA from 1 species
AAGUCGUAACAAGGUUUCCGUAGGUGAACCUGCGGAAGGAUCAUUAAAAAUAAUCCUUUUGCACUUCGGUGCAAAACCAACCCAUGUGAACCUUUAGCCGUUUCCUUCCGGUGGGUUUCAAGGGCUUCGAUAUGAAGUUCCCCCGCCGAAAGGGUUUUGUUUUAACCCCUUUUAUUAUUUCACCGAGUCUAAAGAAAAAUUGUUAAUAAAAAUACAACUUUCAACAACGGAUCUCUUGGCUCUC